rnacentral:lncRNA from 1 species
GUCCAAAGUGAUUGAUCUGUCGAGCCAUCCCCGAGUGUAUAGGUCGUAGCUCCGACAUACUUCGUUAGGACGUUCGGUAGGGUGUAGCAUAGCCGAUCAAAGUGGUUAGUAGCAUGCGCCGUGCCAAAGUCAGUGCGAGCCCCGAUCGUAGGUCGGCAUCCCAAUGGUUGAGUGUCGCACCGAUUGUAGGUCGAGUGCCCGCCGCCCGGGCGUGUUCGUUAGGCCGAGGGUCGGCCAAUCACCAAACGUAGCUCGUCGGCACGAUCAUCCCGUAGGGCCUGAUAGUCGAGUGGUGUUCGAUGUA